CACUGAGAAUGUUCUCAUCAAUAGCUUGCUGUGAUUGGCUAUGGACCUAUUGAAAUCACCAUUAAACUAGAAAACAAAGUUACUCAGCCCUCGUGUGGAAAGUGUCUAAGACAGUAAUGCAGAGGCCGUAGUCUGAAGGUGGCACCUCGCACUACAGAACAAUGGUAGGAGCUCCAGGUUCGGAUCAUGGUUCUGAAUUUACUAGUUGUGUGCACUUAAGUUGCUUAGUCUAAUUAAUAAAGCAGGGAUGAUAAUUCCUCUUUACAGCUUUGUUGCAAGGAUUGCAUUAAAGAAAACAUGUAAAAGCAUAAGGGCAUUCAAUUAAUGUUACAAGAGCCCUUCCCUCAACCCCAAGGGCGGCUGCAGCUGUUCAGCCUGACACUUUAUGUGUGUUGGUCACAGUGCUGUCUUGGAGAAUCACAUACGGGAUAGUGCUUACCUCCCCAUAGCAGCCACGUCAUAGCAAAUAGCUCAUUAGCAUGCAGUUUCUUCCCUCCCUGUUCAGCAGCCCAGCAGACAAGCUGUCUCAGAGCCUGGAUUUCAGCAUGUUGCACUCACCGCAAAUAUCCUGCAGGCUGCCCACUCCAUUCUGCUGCCCUUCGCAAGGCUUCACUUUGCCCUCCAACCCUUUUUUUCUCUUGUUUACCAGAUGGAACGAAGUCUGUUUGUGGAAACACCCUUCCCCUCUGUUUACUUGGACCUGAUUUUGAAAGUAACAAGUCACUUUAUUUGGGCUGGAGGAAAAAGCACUAAACCAGAUGUUGAGGUGACCGGGAUUCCUGGAAGACAUUCUUCUCUCCAACGAGACACAUGAUGCAUGAAGUAGGAGCCCCUGGCAAGGAGCCCAGGCUGCCAUGGCCUCGCUCGCUCCUGCUUCCCGGCAUGGCCCCGAGGCUAGCUGCCUCUGUACUGCCUGAGCAUCGUCCCCUGGCGUGUCACCAGACUACCCACUACCUGUGCUUGCACCUGCAGGUGGGCAGUUCAGUCGUUGCAGGCUGAAGCUCCCUGUCACAGGAGUCCAUCAGCACUGGAGUUUACCAAAUGGCCCAGUCCAGGUCUGUGUCAUAUUGUUUUGCAAAAGCAAGAAAACUCAUUCAGAGCUUGUUACUUUUAUCCCUGACUUCCUAAGUGAGCAGUGUAGCCAGAGAACUACAUCCCCUGACAUCCUUUAAGAGCCAUGACCACUCCUGCCCUUGCUUUGUGACAGGCACUCCUGGAUGCUGAAGUGCUGUUGCUGUGCACCACUAUGCAUCCUGUGUGAGGAUGAGCACUCCAGUCCUUGCUCCCUCUUCCCGUGGCUGGCUCAUUAGCCAGAGCAAACUGUGGCCUUGAAGGAGCAGAAGGAGCAUUUGACUCUUCCCAGCUCUCAGUCUUUGGAAAAUUGAGCAAAGUGGAAUGAAAGCCAUUUAUUCAUUUAACUGGCAGUUAUUUAUUGAGCAUCUAUUAUGUGGCAGGCACCGUGGUGACACUGAAAAGAGAAGGGUGAACAAGGACAGUCCUGAGCUCAAGCAGGCUGCUGGCAGGUGGUAGUGGGGGCAGACAAGCAAAGGGGCACCCAUGCCAUGGCCUGCAAUGCACCACCUCCAGGACAAGGUUUGGGACCCAUCCCUGGGUCUUGGGGGACAUUCUAAAAGGAAGCAGUGGCUCAGCAUAGACCUGAAGGACAAGAAGGCACCAGUCAUGUGUGGAGUGGGUUGGUGGAGAUGCGCAGAGUGCAAGGAGGUCUGGAGGUGAGACCUCCAGGCAGAAUGGAGGGAGGUGUGUCCCAUAGCAUGUGGACUCUAAGGGGCUGGGAGAUCUUAGGGGUCCCUGGAGGCUGACUGAAGGCUGGCCAGGGAGCCUGCCUGGUAAGGGCCUCCAAGGUCAGGUUUGGGUGUAAGAGUAGCCAUUUCUAGCACUGGUUGAGGUGCACUUCCCUGUCAGUGCCCCAAAAUCCUUCAGCAGUGUCUGAUACGAUGUUCUAGACUGGCAUUGUUUCCAGUGCAGGCCCUGUCUCAUUCUUCAGGAAGCAUGCUCAUGGCAAUACCCGGAGUCUCCACUGCAAGACCAGAGUGACGGAGGCAGCAGAGCUCCUCAGCAGGCCAGGAGUCUCCAGAGGCACUGCCGAAUGUCUAAGAAGCAACCUCAUUGUAUUCCCAAGACCUGGGAAUCCAGGUCUCGCAGAUACGAUGAUACAAUCUAUAGCCAGGACAUCUCUUCAUGUGUAGGAUAAGCAACUAUCCCAGUCUUCCCAGGAUUGAGGGGCUUCUCCAGAUGCUGCACUUCUGGUGCUAAAAAUGAGAAACUGAAAUGAAUUAGUCACCCAAGGAAUGCUGACCCUGUGCUAUAUGAUCACAUUUACUCUUUAAAGCAAUGCUUUGAGGUAGGUAAUAUUAUUUCCAUUUUAAAUAAUUUAUAAAUAAGAGAUAAAGUGUGAUUCCCAAGGCCAUUAUCCAGUAAGUGAUAGAGACUGGGUUUAGGUUAUAUUGUCUGAUUUAAAGCCAGUAUAUUUGUUAUCUGCAUAAUAAAUUACUCCAAAUCUUGGGCUUAAACCAACAAUACGAGUUUAUUAAUCCAUAGUUUCUGUGGAUCAGAAGUUGAGGAGCAGUUUAGCUGGAUGGUUCUGGCUCAGGAUCUCUCAUGAUAGGAUCUCUCCUCAUAGUAUUGGGGGCUGUGGUCAUCUGAAGGCCUGACUGGGGCUGGAGGACCUGACUUCAGGAUGGUGCACUCACAUGGCUGCUGGCAGGGAACUACACAAGAGACAGGCUACCAUAGUGACUGUGUAUCUGAUGCUUCCACAGCUACCCCUUAGGACUCUAAGUCCUAGAAUUGGGACUAGAAGUGGGGAUUAAAGGGAUUCCAUAGGAUGAGAUUGACUAAAAAUAUAUAUACAUGAAUAGGCAUACACAGGAAUAUUCAUUAUAUGUGUAAAUACCAUCAUUUGUAUUCAGGCACACCUUGUUUUAUUGUGGCUUUAUUGCACUUCACAGAUAUUGUAUUUUUUUUAGAAAUUGAAGGUUUGUGACAACCCUGUGUUGAGCAAGUCUAUCAGCACUGUUUUUCCAACAGCAUGUGCUCACUUUGUGUCUCUGUGUCACAUUUUGGUAACUCUUACAAUAUUUUGAACGUUUUUAUGACUAUUAUAUCUGUUGUGGUAAUCUGUGAUCUUUGAUGUUACUAUUGUAAUUGUUUUGGAGCUUCAUGAACCAUGC
ensembl:lncRNA GMDS-DT GMDS divergent transcript